rnacentral:rRNA from 1 species
UACGAAGGGGGGCUAGCGUUGUUCGGAAUUACUGGGCGUAAAGCGCACGCAGGCGGAUUGAUAAGUCAGGGGUGAAAUCCCGGGGCUCAACCUCGGAAUUGCCUUUGAUACUGUCUGUCUUCGAGUUCGGGAGAGGUUGGCGGAAUUCCUAGUGUAGAGGUGAAAUUCGUAGAUAUUAGGAAGAACACCGGUGCGAAAGCGGCUCACUGGACCGUCUCUGACGCUGAGGUGCGAAAGCUAGGGUAGCAAACGGG